CUUCCACUGCAUCCGUCCGAAAGUAUUUGUGGUAGUAAUGGAUGUAUCUAAAUGUAUUUUAGUUCAAGAUACAUCCAUUUGCAUCCAUUUUUAUGACAAGUAAUUCCGGACGGAGGGAGUACAAA
rfam:Hordeum vulgare subsp. vulgare, WGS project CAJW01000000 data, contig: morex_contig_119833